UCUCAACAUUUUAUUAUCAUGCAACAUCUCAACUUUAAUCAAACUCUAAAAUUUUUAGAAAGCAUACUUGUCACACAAAACAGAGCAUAGUUGAAUCAAAGUAGUNUAAUUCAUUCAAGCAGAGAACAUAAAAAUUAAAAUAAAAUAAAAGGAAACACACAUUCAAACUAAAAAUAAAAAUUAAAAAUUAAAAGUAAAGGUUCAGAGCACUGGGUUGCCUNCCNGCAAGCGCUUCAUUAACGUCACUAGCUUGACCCAAUAAGCUCAUGUCACAUCAACCAGUUGCAUCUUUGAUUGUAGUAUCAUCCUUUCCCUUAGCCUGCCAGUUGAUCUUUAGCAUCUUCCUGUUCACCUUUUUGGUCCUAGAAAUAGGAGAUUCAAUCUCUAUUGAUCCAUCAGCUGUGAAGUCCUUUAUCACCCAGAGCUUCUUGUUGCAUAUUAUAUGGAGGCCUGGUCUCAGUCCUUCCUGCUUCUUUAAAGGACUUUGGUGAACAUUUAUUCCUUUGNUGUCUUUUUACCUUUCUUCAUUGACUUGGUGGUUCUGGUACCUUUCCCGGGUGCAUCUUUAAAUGUAGCUUUGGGAUUGGUUUUCUUUCCUUCAAUUUGCCGCCCUGUCUUACGGGCACUCAGGAUUACCUCCUCCUCUUGGUCUUUAAGGGCUAUGGUNCCUUCAUCAACAUUGAUGAUUUCUUUAGCCGUCUUCAGGAACGACCUUCCAAGAAUGAUAAGGAUUUCUGCAUAUUCUUCCAUCUCUAAGAUCACAAAUAUACCAGGAACAUCACGUUAUCAACUUGCAACUUCACAUUGUCUAGCACCCCAUAGGGCCUUUUGGGGGAUCCAUCUANCAUGAGAAGAGACAUCGUUGUUGNCUUUACUUCUAACUCCCCCAUCUUUUUAAGAAAAGCCAGGGGCAUUAAGUUGAUGCUGGACCCCAAAUCAAUCAAGGCUUUCCUAAUUUUGUGCUCUCCAAUGUUGCAAGGAAUGGUAAAACUUCCUGGGUCUCCUUCUUUUGGAGGCAGAGUCCUUUGUACGAUCACACUGCAGUCCCCCUGUUCUUUAGUUGACUCCUCUUUAAAAUUUUUCUUUUUGAGGAGCUUGUUCAAAAAUUCCUUAUAUUCAGGGAUCUGCUGCAGGGCUCUGUCAUAGGAACUUCUAUCCCCAAUUUUUUUGAAAAUUCUUCAAGNCNCCCUGAUUGUAUUUUUCUUAUAUUCUACUCUUCAGGGUCCUUGAUAUUUUUCUCAAAAUUUUCUUUUUUUUUCUUUUUCUUCUUUCUCAACCUCNUCUUUUUCUCUUUCCCUCAAACUUUCUUUUUCCUCUCUUUUUUCUUUUAUCUCUUCCUCACUCAAAAUUUCUUUUUCACUCUCUUCCNUUUUCUCACCCUCACUCAAUCUUUCUUUUUCUUUUUCCUNACUUUCUUUUUCUCCCUCUUCUCUUUUUUCACUCUCUUUUUCUUUCCUAUCUUUUUCUCUUUCAUCCUCCAUGCUUGCUAUAACCUUGCAUUCUUCUUU
rnacentral:lncRNA from 1 species